CAACCGAUAUGUUGUCAGGGCGACCUUCAAAAAUAAUAAAUUCAGAGCUCUUCAAAAUUGAAAAAGAAAAUUUAGAAAAGAAAGAUUUAAAAUAUGUGCGUCAGUCAAUGUAUAUAGAGAGAAGAAAACUGCAUCCGGCUCAACCUAAAAAUCAAGAAGAAUUUCACACAAUAUUGGAUGAUAUUGGUGUUGUUACAAACAAAGAUGAUGACUUUGUAUUGUGUAACGAUCCAGAAAGCGGGAUGAUUUUAUUAGGAUGCGAGGCUAAUUUAAAAUUUCUUUGUACAAUGUAAGAGGAUUGUUUGCUGAUGGUACCUAGUCAAUCAUUUAGUUGUUAUAUAUGAAUAAAAAUAAAUAGAAUUGGCGCAAUUAGAUGAUUAUUUUAUUGGCGCAAAUGAUAUCUAUGGUUUUGAAAAUUAGUUGGCGCAAAAGAAGUAUUGGCGCAAAUAAGUUGUGGCGCAAAUGAGUUACUUUUUGGCGCAAAAAGAUAUCGCCCGUA
rnacentral:lncRNA from 1 species